UUUUUUUUUUUUUUUUCAUCAAGUGCAGCAUAUUGCUACUUUAAAAAAAAAGGCUGCACCAACAAAUCUGGCAGAAACACAAAUUUAAAAAUUCCUUUCAAAGCUUCAGCUUUAUUUUACUGGUUAUCUUUUCUGUGGACCUGAUACUGGUCCAUUGUCUCUGUCUUGCAGGUGUGAUUCCAAAUCUCUUAGAAUAUUUUCCUCCCUUCCUAGGUGCAUGUAGAUAAAUGUGUUAUCUACUGUGUCAUUUUGGCUAAACUGUCAUCAUAGCAUAGCACAGUAAGCUUGGUAGAUAUCUUUUUCUAAUGAACCAUGAUACCUGGUCUACAACCCGUUCCACAUUCUCCAGUGAAUUAAUGUGGCACAAUGCAUGAUUCUAGUACUUUUCUCACUCACUCUGUUGAUAGUAGUUAUGUACUCACACAGUUACCUCCCUCAGUGGUUUCUAUAGCAGUUAGUCUUUAUGCUUCUCUCCCUUUUAUUGUAGCUUCUGCACCAUCAUUUAGGUAUUGUCAGAAAGUCAUUAUGUAAAUUCACAAUUGUGAGUAUCCAUUUAUUUUUAAAAAAUCUCUCUUCUACAGAAUUUGCUUGAAAGCCUUAAAAGCCAGAAAAAUUGUGAUAAAUUUUUUUUUGCUUAUCCUUGAUAAUAUAUUGAAGUCCCUAAAUUAAAGUUUUAACAAAUGCUUACAUAAUAAUUAGAAAAUAGUUCUUGCUGUAAAGAAAGCCACUAUGCUAAAUUUCUAUAGCACAUCAUGGAAAACCCAUAUUAAUUCUACAUGGGUAUUGUAGAUUGGCAUAAAUAUUUCAAAUAAAACAUUCAAGACUGACUUCACAAAUCCAACCAGAAUACAACUAUGUAAGCAUUCAUAAACAAUUUAUAUAAACACUCUAGUAAGAAGACUUAAAGCAGAUCUAAAGGAAUAUGGAGCUAAAGGAAGAUAUAAAGGAAGAUUUAAAGCAGAUUUAAAGAAAUAUGCCAGUGAUUACAGGAAAAAUUAAAAUCUUGACUCACUUUUAUAAAAUACAAUUAAUAGUUAAUUGCAGUAUUUUUAUAAGCAUUUAAUUAGUAUCUCUAUAUGUGGUCUAUAUUUCCAUGCUUUAUUCUUUUGAGGGAAAGUUGUUAUCAACCCAACUUACUAUUUUUUAUAUGCAGUCUGGAAUUUAAGUUUCCUGAUAAGAAUAUGAUUCAAGCUAAAAUAUUUCUGUGAAAUAGACAAUAUAUCCCUCCAUUUCCAUGAAAAUGUUUCCAGCAAAAUAACUGUCUACAUAUUUUCAUAAAAAAGCUUAGGCACAUAGGUAGUCUCCAAAUAAGCUUUUCAAUUUUGCUGCAGAUAAUCCUUUAUUUCCAAAUUGUUUAGGACAAUGAAGUUUAUGAAAUUAAAAUUGUUUUACCAAGUGCUGGAAAAUUAAUCCUAGAUUAAAAAUACAUUUUAAAAUGUUAUUAGGGUUGUCAUACUAUUAAUAACAAGCCAACCUUUUCCCUCUAUUUUCAGACAGGAGAUAAAUUCAAUUACCUUUGUGCUAAUUGUCUGAUGUAUGUUCUUAUUGUAAUGCAUAUUAUUUAAAAUGUUUCAAGUUCAUACUUGCUAGUGAGAGACAGCUGCAUGGCUAAGAUUUGGUGUAUCAAGUGGAAAAUACAACUCUUUAUCAAGGCAUCAGCCUAUGAAGACCUGUGAACAUACUGCUUUAGGAAAAUCAGUUGAAACUUUCUGAAACCAGUUAGAUGCAAAACUGUUAAACACCAAUUACUUUAACAGCAGAAAUAUCAUUCUCUCUUUCCAAUUAUGCAAAUCAGUCAUGAUGAAGUAACCCUGUGUCCAGUAUUUUCCAUGAGAAAUAACCCAAGGGGAUGUGUCCCAAGCCAAGAAUUUUUUCCACUUUAGGAAUAAUCAGAUGUGUGUGUGACGGUUGAAACGCUGCCAAGGGCAAGCAUUCAAUGGCACAUUCAGUCCGAUGUCCUUGUCUUCCUCUUCAAGGACUGUAAUGGACAUUGGCAUUAAUAUUUCAAGGCUUCCUCUAAUUUCACAUCUCUCCAAGUAUAAGCAGCAAUCACCUAAGGAGAUAUUAUUACUGAAUAGCUGCUAAGCUUCCUACUACAGGAAAUUAAAUGGGAUCAUUGCUAGCCUCCCUCUUACUAAAAAGCAAUACAUACUCUUUGCCUGGAUUUCUGUGUCAAGAUAAGAAUCUUUAGGUUGGAAGGUUUAAGCCUGGAAAAUAAUAUACAACAGCAUUGCCAAUUCAUAUAUAUUUUACCACUACUCCUUUUGUGGGUUUUUUUUUUUUGGUUGUUUGUUUGUUUUUUUUUUCUGACUCUACUUCCUGCAAUAAAAUGGCUACAGCAGAAUCUUUGCCUUCAUUAUCCAAAGAAAGAGUUACUAGAGAUCACAGCUCUGUGUCAGGAUUGUGGGCAGGAGAGAAGGGGAGUUCACAGGUCUUAAAACUGUGAAAUUUAAAGGUUUAAAAUUUAUUUCAAGGUAUCUUUUCCUGAUUUUGGAUUAGAAUGGCUUGUUUUAAGUGUUGGAAGAUGACAUUACUGGUAUGCUCAUUUAACAUAAUCCUGUUCAUUCUUAUGGCUGGUAAUAAAAACCAGCCUCCUGUAUGUUUUGGGGAUUCCUGAUGAGCAAUAAGAAUUCUUUACCGGUCUUAAAUUGCAUUGUUUAGAGCAGAGAAAUCGAAGUUGUGUAGACAAAAUCUAACUCAAUCACCUUAAAAUCAGCUGCCCUAAACUUCCACUAUUUAGAUUGGUUUCUGCACCAUUCACUCACUAUUCAGCAGCUUUAGUACCAUUACCUGCUUUCAGUAGCUUCCCAAAUGAGGGUCUUACAGGCAUCUAAGGCUUGAUAGCCCUCCUAGACUUGUUAGCUGUGACUGAUCCCUGAUGGCCAUACCUCCCUGCCCUUGAAAACACCAUCAUCUAUGUUUAUCUGUAGCACCUGAAAAACCUAAAUUGGAUAUAUGUUUUUAGCUAAUAAAACAUGCUGAAAUGUUUGGUGGUUCAGAGUCUACAAAACUUAACCACUGCAAGUAAUUAGGAUACAGUGAGCAGUACAAACAUUUAUAAUAAUUAUGCAGUGAGUGCACAAACAUAUUAUAGGUUUAAAGACCCUUAAGUAAACUUGCUGUCUGAAUGCAAAUGUAAUGGCUGCAGCAGGAAGCAGCAUCGCCAGCUGAGCCAGAUACAGCACUUGUUCCUGGCCAUAGCUGAGAUGUCCCUGCAAAAUAGUUUGUGAUGCAGUAACCUAUGUUAGAACAGUAUGAUUCUUUAUUCCCCUCUAGUGGCUAGUCUGCAUAGUAUUAGUUACUAGUCGAGGGCUAGAAGGACUAGAUCAGACUCUCGGGACAGCAGGACAUGCCAAAAGAUUUUGGUUCAGUCCCUGCUGCCAUCCACACUACCAGAAUGCCAAUAGUGCACAGAAAAAAUGGUCUGUGCUCUGGCAGUGAUACAGAAAGAGGGGAAAGGAACAGUUUUUGAAAGGUUGAAAUUUUAUGUUCUUAGUCACUACCAAGGAAUUAAAUUAAUGGUUUUAUCCCUCAGAAAGGAAGAAGAAUGUAACUGUCAAUUCGCAUUGCAAGUCUUUUAUUUAAUUACUUUAGUCCCUGGGUGUCAGUGAAGCUGAAUAUGAACCUGGCCAAUCCAUCACCAGGAGGGUACCAAGAGUUCUGCUUUGCAGCUGGCUUCUGAAUGCAGCCUAUCUGCAGUCUUCCAUACUGCAAAUGAGAAUUUACUCUCAGAGCAUAUUUGUCAUUGAAAUGUAUUUAAUUUAUACAGCCAACUCUAUCACCAAUAUUCUCAUAAGUACUGCUACUUCUACUUAUGUUUUAUGUUAAUGUGUAGCCAAACAGAAAGAAAACAACUAUAAAGAUGCUAAAAAUCAUCACAAGCUGCACUAAAGUCUUGAAAGAGUAGUGAUUUCUAUUAAUGGUUGGAUUGCUAAUAUAAUAUGAGCUAGAUUCUUCAGGUUGACUAUGGAAUUUUUCUUUUCUGAAUAGGAUGAGAGCAUUCCUGAACAAAUCACUGGAAGCAGGAAAGUGAACAUUAUACAUGAAAACAAACUACAGAAUAAAUCUGAAAAUAAGAGGAGUCAAAGAGGUAGACACUCAUCCUCCGUAAGCACAGUGGGGGUUUAUGAAUCUUGGAUUUUACAGUGAUUUGUUCUUGUCCUUAUUGAGAGCCUGCAAGUUCCCAAGGGCUCCUGCCCUGCAGAGAAUAGGAAGUCUUUUAUCACAGAGGCUGUUUGUGGUCAAGAUCACAAUGUAUAAAGGACAAAAUAUCCAAAACACAGGUUAAAUUCUCUAUGAGAAUGAAGAUGCAAAGAAAUUCUUGCUCUUUACAACAAGUUUGGGUCAAGUCCAGAUUUUGAAGUUGCAUGGCUGCUAUCUUGGUGUGAAUAGAAAACCAUACGAAAGAUGUAUGAUGUUGCUUGAACUCAAGCUUGUGGAUAUAUUAUCAUUUAAUUGAGUACAUUUAAAAAAACCCCACCAGAUAAAAUUAAGCGUACAAAAUCAGCCUUCCAGUGAUGUUAUUCCCAAUUCUGUCAGUUAACUUGAUAUGGGAUAAAAGGUAAAUUGGGUAUUUCAGCAUAAUACAGUAAGAUGCUUCAAUUUCUUUUGAGAACAUGCUAUCUGAGCAGAUCCAUUUUUAGGGGAAUGCUAAAUAAAAAGCAAGAUGACAGCUUUCUAGGUCAGGAACUGCUAGACCUUCAUUAUUUUAAACAGCUUGGAGCACUGCAAUAUUUAGCCAGUGUGUGUGUGCAUGUGUGCUUUUUCAGAACAUUUUACAACAGGCAUUUAUAAUGUUCUAAGGCUAUGCUUUGGCAAUAAAAAAUAAUGUCUCAUUUAUAAAGUGCAGGAACUCGGGGAUUUUAUUCUCCUGGAUGUAACUUCAGUUCCUUUUUUUUUAAAGUACAAGCAUACUUUAAGAACUGCAUUUAGUCAGUUGUUGACUAAUGGCUCAUAGCUCUUCAUGAAGCAGAUAAUGACUUUGCAUAGAAUAUCAAACUCAAUAGAAACAAUCACAGUAAUGGAAGAAGAAUUCUUUGUUGUAGAGUUAUUACAUGAAACGAAACACUGACAAAACAGUAAGCUUUCUAAGGAAAAUAUCAUCAGGUUUUGAUAAAUACUACCUCUUUUGAUGUGCCUGCUACAUUUUCUCUUCUCUGUAAUUGUUUUUGAAAGGUUUGUUAAGGAAUUUCUGAUUACUUUUGAUAGCUGAAACAUACAGCACUUAAUGGAAACUAGAAAGCCAUUUAAAGGUUUGUAAUAAAUUCAUAUAUUGCCAGUAUAUUUCUCUUAGAUUGUAAUGUUUCUUUUGUACUCCAAAUGCCAUCUCAAAAAAUAAACUUCGUACAGAGUAUAUGGAUCAAAUUUUAGCCAGAACAGAAAAAAAAUUGUUGACUUGGCACUCAGUAUUUGUGACCCACAGAGUACUUUUACAGCCAGCCAAGUCAUCAGUUUUCUUUUCUGCUAGGCAGUGGCAGCUCUGACUCCUGAAGAACACCUUUGCAUGUGAAUCCUGGGUAACUUAACUCUGGCAAUGAUGAAUGGGUACUGCAAUUGACUGUAACUUAGAAAAUUCAGUGCUCAGCAUUGGAACUGUAGCAAACAUGAAAAACUGAAAAAUGGAUGGCUGGACUGAAAUGAUGUAGACUACCAUGGAAUUAUUUAAUGGGUCCCUACUCUAGCAAAGUCCUUGAACUAAGUAAGUCAAACUGGAAACGACUUAUCAAAAAUGCACACCGUUCUCUUGAAGAAAAGAUUGCAAGGUGAGAAACCCACCAACAUAACAAUGGUAAGAAGCAGGGAGCUCAGGUAUCACAGACACAGGAUAAAAACUGAAUAGAGUGUGGUCACGAGCAUCUUAAAAGUAGCCCUGUUCUUUUGACUCUUUCUCCUUGUUUUUGGGAAUCUUGUUUUGUGAGGGGAAUAUAUUUUUUAAUUGGGAUACUCUUCAUUCUUUGGUGCCUGUGUGCAAAUUCUUUCAGUCGUUUCUGUUCUUGCAGUUCACUGCUGAGUGUUAUGUAGAUGUGCAUGCUGUAUACCGCUCCUGAAAGAAAAAUAUCCAUGAAAUUAAACAGGACCAUAGCAACGUGCAAUACAAAGACUAUAUUUUAUUACUUAGGUUGUAAAGUAACUUAGUGUUCAGUUGCUCAUACAAAAAGGUUGCUAAAAGUAAUAAAAAAUUCAAGCAUACCUAAACCAGUACUUUUAAUUCAAGAGUUUUUUUUCCUUUGGUAUUAAGAUGAAAGUUAAUUUUAAAAGACUGUAUUAAUACCAGUUUUAAAAACUUAAGACUAUCUUAAUUAAAUUUUGAAAAUGUUUUUCUCCUAACAACUAAGAGGACAACAGGGACAUAUCCAGCUUUCUGUGCUUAUUUGCAAAUCACAGGUAUUUAUUGAUUGCUAUUUUGGUGUGGCUCAUCAUAAGCCUAGCAACAGUUUUUGUGCUUUCUUGGAAAAAAAGAGAAAAGAGUGCUAUCAGUGAAGCUCCUUUUCCUAUUAUACCAUGUCACUCAGCCUAUGCUCUCUGCAGGAGACACCUGAACUCCCGUAUUUUAGCACUCAGAAAGCUUUACUGUCAGGGAACUGCUGUAGACCUUCAACUAGGUAAGAGCAGCAUGAAGCUCGUGGUAAGGAACUGUCUGUGCUCUUGUCUCCCUGAAGUACCUAAUCCAUAUCAAAGGAUAACCUGUCACUAACUCUCAUGGGAGCUGUGGGGGUUGCAAGAUGUGUCUAUUUAGAAAGCUAAUUCUACAUUUGGCCUUGGAAGCUUUCCCAGCCACAGCAGGACUGCUACUGUGUCUCCCAAGCCAACUGGAAAAUCUAGAUUAUAUGUCUGGGUGAGAAUUAAGAGAAGGAAAAAUGGUCUAGGGAAAAAGGAAGCAAGAAUGACAACGGACACAAAAAAAAAUCCAGCAUCCUUGGUAGAUAAUCAAAAGUCAUCUGGACGUAAGGCUGGGCAAUGAGCUGCAAGUGAGUCUGAUGUAGCAGGGGGCUUGGACCAGUCCCUUCCAACCUCAACCAUUCUGUCAUUCACUGGGAGGAAAGAAAAAAGUAACUAAAAUGCAGAAAUUCUCAAAACUCUGAGGUUUUAAAAGUGAGAUCUUGACAUCUAUUUAAUUGUACAAUAUGUAACCAUAGACAUUUAUGCUAUCUUUAAAACCUCUUUUAAUAAAUUCUCUUUUCUAUUCAUUCUGUCUCAUAUUGCUGACAGUCUUGUUCCUUUUCUUCUGUCCUCCUCCUGGUCUACACAGAGCAGUGACAGUUUGCGGGUCCUGAAAUGGCCAUAUCUCAGCAGGUCUGGACGGCUGCUACUUUGAGAAGUCAGGCUGUGUAGGGUUAUAGAAACAUAAGCUCUCAUUUUUGCAUCAUGUGGGGGCAUAAUUUUAAAAAGUGGGAGACUUUUACUCAUUGGAGCAGUCUGGAUUCUGGUGAGAUUUAUGAAAUUUUACAAACAUUCUCAUCUGAUGGGAAUCAGUAGAGCCAUUGUAGAGAACCUGCAUCACUGGCAAUUACCCUUAUGAUUGUAUGAUCUUCAUUAGGCUGAUUAAAGUAGCUUAACACCAUAUUAUUUAGGUGGCACUAGGCAAUAUUUUGCUGAAGAUGAUAUGUUAAAACUCUUGAAUUAUAUGAAUUUUAGAAGAUUACCCACUGAGAAUCCAAAUUAAAAAAAUGUGCCAUUUUUAAGUGACUACUAUGGAAACAAACACUGCCUCAGCAAGGCUGGGAUGAGCACAUUCCAGAAAACCAUUAAAGAAUUCUACAUGCUAUUGCUUACAGUACAGAAUGUGCUGCAGGCUCUUUGUAAUACAAUUUACACUUGACCUCCUUCUAGGUAGAGGCUUGAGGUUUAGGUCAGUACGGAGGACUUUGAAGUCAAACAAGAGUCAAUGGCUAUGGGAGCAGAACUCAGGAUCUUUGACUCCUGACAAAAUUAAUCAUUUUCUUUAGCAGUUUCUGAAUCAGGAGACGCUUGUACUCUUGCAUUUGCAGAACACUGCUUGACUGGGAAGAGGCAGUCUGAUUCAGCAGAUGUGCUGAAUGUUCCCAAUAGUCUUGAAAGCUGUUUUGUGUAUUUAAAAAAAUCCUUAUUACCAAACAGGUUUAUGUUAGUACAGCAAAAUCAGUUAUUGCAGAAGAACAGAAGUGUCAAACCCCAAGAAGCAUGUUUUUUACUUCUCUAAAUAGAGUGAAGGAAAAAAAAAAAAAAAAAAAAAA
ensembl:lncRNA